CCUACGGGAGGCAGCAGUGAGGAAUUUUAGUCAAUGGACGGAAGUCUGAACCAGCCAUGCCGCGUGCAGGAAGACGGCUCUAUGAGUUGUAAACUGCUUUUGAACAAGGGUACACCUGAAUACGUGUAUUCAGCUGAAAGUACUGUACGAUUAAGGAUCGGCUAACUCCGUGCCAGCAGCCGCGGUAAUACGGAGGAUACAAGCGUUAUCCGGAUUUGUUGGGUUUAAAGGGUGGGUAGGCGGAUUGAUAAGUUAGAGGGGAAAUGUCCGAGCUUAACUCGGGAACUGCCUCUAAUACUGUUGAUCUAGAGAGUAGAUGAGGUAGGUGGAAUGUAUGGUGUAGCGGUGAAAUGCGUAGAGAUAAUACAGAACACCGAUUGCGAAGGCAGCUGACUAAUCUAUAUCUGACGUUGAGGCACGAAAGCGUGGGGAGCAAACAGGAUUAGAUACCCCUGUAGUC
rnacentral:rRNA from 1 species